rnacentral:lncRNA from 1 species
AUGGCCGGUCAUCCCAUCCAUCAUCAGGCUCAGGGGCCCCCCGGAGCCAAGAACCCACAGGAGCAGCAGAGGAGACCCAUGGGGCAGACGACUCUCCCAGCAGAGCAGGAGGAAUCCAGGGUGAAAUGCAAGAACUGCGGGGCCUUUGGGCACUCAGCCAGGAACAAGACCUGCCCCAUUAAGAGGUGGAGUGGGGCCCUUCCUCUGCAGGUCCUGGGCUCACACAAGGAGAAGGAGAACCUGAAACCAGCAAAGGCCCAGCUACCCUUUACGACUCCAGGGCCCUUUACGACGAAUGACAGAGAAAAGGAGCGAAGUCCACCCCAGCAGCAGCAGAACAGAGCUCCGAAGCAGACAUUUCCCAGAACUCCCCAAGAGAAAACGCAGGAAGCCUGGAAGGAGCCAGCGGAAGCCUGUUCAUUCCUGAGGCAUCCUACCAUGCCACUGCCUGUCCACACCACCAAGAAGAGAUCUGUCCUGGGCCCUGUGUCCACAGGUCCACCGCCUGUCAACAAACCCGAGAUGAGAUUACUCUGCCCUUCGGGUCACAACGAUUGACCUCAACUGAGCACCUGUGGACCCACCAAGGGACAUGGCGGGGACGUUACUGCCUCCCUGCUCCCUGUUCUGAAGAGCUCCCACCAGACCCCCACUCUCAGUGCCAGGCUGCCAGCCAACAGGCCUGACAUGUCCUCCCAUGGUGCUCUCCAGCCUGCCAUGCAGGCGCUUGCCCUGGGUCCUGGCCUUAAAUCCCAGGCAGAAAUCAAACAUCCCGUUGCAGAUGCAAAGCCCAGACCACAGCAAGUCAGAAAACAGUGUGGCCAGGACUCCAGAACCCAGGCACCAGACAAGGAGCCUGGCCCCGUCCCCACCCAGACUUUCCAGAACCCCGCAAAGAAAGCAAGAUUCAGCUCCUUCCAGACCCCUGCACUGAGAACUCAGCUCCCGGAUGUGGGCGCUGUGCAGACACUCCAGCCUCCCCGCACUGCAACUGGACUUGGAUCCAAACAGGCACCCGAGGCGACUGCACAGACAGCAGCCACCAAGACAGCAACCCUGCAGCCCAGAGUCAACCUCCAGCCCGCACCCAGCUCACCUUUCCUGGGCCCAGCCCAGGGCUGCCCCGUCCUCCAGCCUGGACCACCCAUUCAUGUUCCAGGGAGGCCCGGCAGUGUCACCUUCAUGAGAGGGGACAAGGGACAGAAGAGCCCCAGGUUCAGAACGCCUCCCACAUCCCGUCCUCCUGAAAACUCUGCUUCUGCUCAGAGCCCUCGCUUCUCAAGGCAGCCUGAGGGGCGGGGUCCCCAGGUCUCAACGAGUGUCCUCUAUGAGGACCUUCUUGUCACUUCCUCCUCUGAGGACAGUGACAGUGAC